GGGAUGGUGACUCAGUGGUAGAGUACUUGCCUAGCACAUAUGAGGCCCUGAGUUUGAUCCUCAGCAACACA
rnacentral:tRNA from 1 species